rnacentral:lncRNA from 1 species
AACUUUGGGUAUAAUUUGUUGUGCAGCAAUAAAUAGCUAAUAUACAAUAUUUCCACUGAGAAGUUAACUGUUAUUUUGAACUCUGAAUCUCAUAUAGACCAGUGUUCACUUUAUCUUACUCUCUCUCUCUCCUCUCUCUCACUCUCUGUCUCUGAAAUUUCUUCAGAUUUUUUAUUUGUUUCUGGUGCUCUUACUUUUCACAAUGUUGGAACUUAUUGAUGGUUCUGUCUGUGUCUAUUGGGCUGGACAUGCUUUAGGAUCUUUUAUAACCUGUACUCAGUUUGAGUAGUUUCUUGGGUUGAUUCCGUUUUGAUUUUCUCAUUUCUUUGGAAAUUUAUAAUUUUAAAAUUUUGGACCACUGAGAACAUUUUUAAAUUGUCUUAAUCUAACUUUCCACUUCUAUUCUUUUGCCUAUUCUUCUUAGAUAAUUUUUACACUUUAUUUUCAAGCCCUUCUAUUAAUAUUUUUAUUUCUGCUGUGUUAUUUCUAAGACUUACAGAUUUUAUAAUGCUAUUUUUUAGCAUCUCUCCUAUUUUGUGGAUAUGUCAUCUUUUCUCUCUGAAUAUGAUAAUGAGGCUUUCAUUUGUUUUCUAAGUUUUUAUAUCCCUAGGUAUUUACUGUUUUGAUAAUUUUUUCUUCCCUGUUUGUUUGCUUUGCUUUUUUCUUCCAAGAUAAAGCCUGGAAGCUGCACGUCACCUGCCAGCUUUGUGUGUGCCCAGUGAGUGCAGGUGGCAUAAUGACCAGCGGUGACUUGAAUGACAAGGGGACAGAACAGCUGGACAAUCCAAUUCCUAGAUGCUUUCUCCAGUUAUGGCCCUGACUGGGAUCUCCGAAGAAUGACUCAGCUGAAACUGUCAAUUUCAUCAUUGCCUACAUUUGUCUUCAGACGACCUGCAGUACAAACUUGGCUUAAACCUGCAGUUGACAAUGGUAACAGGAAUCUUAUUUUAAAAAAUAAUAUGCGCCACCAGCUAAGUUGGUCAUGAUGAGGUCUGGGCCUUGAUAGCCUUCUGGGUUUUAAUUCACACAAUAUGUUUGAAAAAAGAAAAAUCAAAGUAACUGUAAUUUUUUUGUAAAGCAAAAUACUUUUUAAAAGCCAUGAGGCACGUGUUACUCAAAGGGCUCCUUGGAUGAAUUAUUUUGUAAGGCAAAUGAUUUGUUAUAGUUCCAAUGACAUCUAAAUUUGCCAGUUGUAAAUACUGGAAUUUUUGGUCCUUGCAUUGAACUUACUGGUAUUGAUGUGCUAUAUAACUAAAUGUCUUCUAAAAGGAUUCACCGUGGGAGAAUAAAUUACAAUGGAUAAAAAACAGCAUUACAAUCCCUCAAUAAAAUGGGAUUUUAACAGACAAAGCUCCUGGUAUGUGGUCGUUCUCAGGCCCAAAGGCCCAUUUUGCUUUUGGCUGCAACUCUGUAACUCUGUAACAGAGACCAAGUGCCUGCAGGGAGCAGAUGUUUGGGGCAGUAUCUGCUAAGGUGGCUUUGCUGAAACUUGUUUCUCUCAUUGGGUCUUGGAAGUGGCGAAUAGGACGUUCCUAUAGAAAAACUCAGAAAGAGACUGUGAAAGAUAAUCUUAAAGAGGCACUCACGAAACACAAGCUCCUUCUCCGGGAAAAAGAAUCAUCACCCUUGUUAUCCCAUGAAAAUUCAUCUUCUCCUUUUCAGCUGAUAUGAGGACUUGAUCUGUCCUUUCCUAUAAGUGCCAUCUGUGUUUAAAUGAGGCUGUUACUCUAACUCAAAGCAGACUUGCAAGAGUAAAAUAAUCAAUCUUCAUCAUAUUGCUGCACUUUCGACAGUUAAUUUUCUAGAGUAAUUUGUCAUUGUGAGGAGCAUAAGAUUUGUCUGAAUUUGUGUCAAAGGUUAUUGACUGAAUUGCCACCUCAUCUUUUCAGUCAAUCUAUAAAUAUGGGCAAGUUUGGGCAGAGGCUAAUGGCCUUCUCACUAAGGGGAUGAGAUUGUCCAAGUUAGGCAACUGAUAAGAGGUAGAAAUAUCUAUUGUGUCACCCAUUUCUUGUGGUAGCAUUGACUUAGAGUUAAUCUCAGAAACUUCACUUAACCUUCUUAAUCCUUUUCUUCCUGUAAAACAAGGCUAAAAAUUGUCAUAACUAUAUUCUAGUUUCCACAAAAGCUAAUCUAAGUAUUAAAAUUUUUAUUGUGACUUUGUGAGAGUGAUCCUGUAUUUUUCACAAAACUAAGAAGAAAAUAUUUUUAUUUAGUGUUUUUCUAUGAAUAGCUUUUGGUUUUUGGAAAAACCAUCUGAUCUUUAUUACUAAGAUUCUUGCUUCUUAGGUCAAAUUCUUGUUCCCUGUCUUUAUAUAGAGUCUAAUAUUGGGAACAUACCCAAGGACCACAUGGAUAAUUUUAUGAUGCUUGCUGACUAUUAUGUUUCUUGCCCACUUUAAUAGCCUAAUAAUAAUAGUUACGAAUUCUUAUUGAGAAAUAGCCAUUCUUAAUCAAUGCCAAUGACAGUGUUUCCUCUUUCAGACUGAAGGAAAAACAGGGAGAAAACCAGUUCAUAUAUUAUGGUUAAACACUGAUAAAACAUUUUGGUUAAAUAUCUGCCUUCAUGGGUUAUUGCAAAAUAGAUUAGUUUAAAGCUCAUCUAGCCCUGAAAUAUACAGUUAGAUUAUUUUUUAUGGAUUUCAAUUAUUUUUAUUUCAUUACAGUUAUUUUUUUUUCAAUACAUGGCCUGUUUGAAGAUACAUCAUAGUAAUGGUAACAGCAGCAACCACUGCAGUAAAUAACUGACAAUUGCUGAACAAUUCAUGUCUGCCAUGCCAUGCUAUGAGGGCCUUAAGGAAUAAAUACAACUUAUAUUCAUAAUAAACAUAGGAGGUUGUAGAAGGCUAAAUAAUGGGUCACCAAAGAUACCCACAUCCCAUAAUUCCUGUAACUGGUGACUAUGUUACCUUGCAUGGUAGAAGGGAUUUUGCAGUUGAGGUUAAGGUUAAAGACUUUAUAAAGGCAGAUUAUCUUGGAUUAUCUGGGUGGGUCUUUAAAAGCGGAAGAGAAAAGCAGAAAAGCAAGUCAGACAGACAGAUGCAACUACAGAAGAGACAGUAGGGACUCAACUCAAAUGACUAACUUUGAAGAUGGAGGAGGUGGUCCAUGAGGCAAGGAAUGCACUUGCUUCUAGAAGCUGGGAAUAACCCACAGCUAGAAGCAAAGUAGGAAAUGGAAGUCUCAAUUCUACAUCGUAAGGAAGUGAAUUCUGCCAAUAACUUGAAAGAGAAGGAAAUAGAUUCCCUCCAGAGGCUCUAGAAAAUAAUGUAUCCCUGCUGACACCUUAAUUUGAUUUGAGCCCCAUGAGACCCACGUUGGACUUCUGACUUAUGGAGCUUGUAAGAUAAUAAAUUUGCAUUGUUUCAGCCACUACAUUUGUGGAAAUUUGUUACAACCACAAUAGGAAACUCAUAGAAUAGUAAUCACUAGUAAUAUCUUCAUUUAACAGUUGAGGAAAUUGAGGCAGGACAACACAAGUUAUAAAAAUUAUCUCAGUUCUUAGUAGAGUUCCUGGCAUAUGACAAGCAGUUAAUGUCUUUGUAGAAUGAAUGAAUGAAUAAAUAAAUAGAUUUUUUCUUAUGCUUUCCCAAA